UUUAAGGCAGAGCAACGCCCACAUCCACCUCACGUGACUCACUUUCCCUUCCACCUAAGCCAUCACCUGGGGAGAAGUAGAAAAGCUUGGGCUGGGCUGCUGCAGAGACUGCUGGGAAGACAACUCCUGUGGAAAGCGAAUGGCUGGUGCUGCCUUUCUGGAAGCUGUGGUUCCCAGCCUAAGCUUUCUUACUACGCUGCUCUCCAGCUCUGCCCUCCGAAUUGGAGACUUAAGGACAACAGAGCUCUGAAGAUGGUUAGUGUCAUCUAAACACAAUGAAGCUGCUGACUCGAUUUAAAUACACAUUGAAAUUUGGGAAAUAGAGAAAAAGAAAGCCAUCAAUGAUCCUUCAGGUAGAAUCUUUGGACAGUUUUCUGGAGAAAAUGGAUUUGGAUCAAAGGAGACGUCAGAACCAUGUAGUUGCUACUGAACCGUACAUUUGAAGGAGCCCCAUCAGAUUGUGCAUUUCUGACUUUACUCCUUUUCUCAUGUGAACUGCAAAACUAAAGAGGAACAUAAGAAACAAAAAGGAGAAAAAUUAUCAAAUGAUUGUAAAAGAAUAAAGAGAGUUAAACAAUGCAAAUUUCUGAUGUGUUAACAUUAAGAGAAAGAUGAAGAACAGCUUAAUAAUCAUAUUCAGAUAUUGGAAUACAGACAAGAAAAAGAUUAAGUCAUUCUUGUUUUCACUCUGAGACAAAUAAGAGAACGUGGGCCACAAGACGACAUGUUUGAAAUUCCGAUUCUUGUUCACCCGCUUUUCAAUCUACUGCUUCUGCCCCGCCAGGCUGCCUCGAGUUCUGGAAGGGUCACUUCAUUCCCUCACAGCACGUGGACCUCCAAUGCAGAUGUGCUGCUAUGACGCCUAGGGAAACAGAGUUUUACAACAAACUAGAACUGUAGGAGUGACUCCAAUGUUCAAGGUGGGUAGUUUUCAGAGAAGAGCUGCUGAAGAGACAACCCAGUAUGGAUGCACCACAAUGUUUAUUCUUGCAACGACUUCUGAAUUACUUGAGAUAACUUGACAAGUUUUUGUUCCUUGCAAACAGAAGAAUCAAGCAACCGUAGGCAUUAAACUUGAGAUACUACAUGUGGUGGUAAAGAUAGGUCUUCAUAUUGAUCAAGGAAUUAUACAGAGCUUCUCCAGCCUAUAGCCUCAGUUGCCCAAAUCCAUUGUUCACAUGUUUUCAACUUGAAGAUUCCAAGAGUUCCAGAGCAUAUCACAAGUGUCUGAAUAUCUGGUUCCAGCUUUGAGAGUGUUGUUUUCUCCUUUCCUUCUGAAUGAGAAGAAAGACUAUAUCCAAAACAGCAGCCAGAGGACGGGGUGAAUCUUGAAGCCACUCCCUCCACCUCACACUCAUUCUUGUGUCUAGUUGUUUAUAGCAUCUGUUUGCACUUCAAAUUUGACUAUCUGUUGUCAACUUCAGCUCCACAUGAGGAAGAUAGAUUCCCCUUAAAAUUUUUCCUUACUUUUUCCUACUUGUGUAACAUCCGACUAACUGGAUAAAAAGGUCAUUUUGCUGACAGCUCAAGUAAGGACAUAAAAUGAUUUUCAGUGCAUUUCUCUUUUGAUCGACAUUUAUAUUUGGUUGUAAUAUCUUGCUGCUUCUUCAUAUAGUUCCGCCAGGCACUCUCCCUGUGUCACCUUCAGGACUGUCCUAGGUGUCAUUUCUUCUAGAACUCCUUCUGGAACUGUCACUGCACAGGAUAUUCUUUCAAUACUUUUCUUCUCAUCCACGGAGCCUCUGCCCUGGCAAUCUAUCCUCAUCUCCAUGGUCAAAGGCGUUUUAGCACAUACCACACCCACUCCCAGCCCCUGGAAAUUUAUAUCCGUCUUCCCUUCCCACCAUACAUCAAGUCCCAGGUCCUUAUUUUAUACAUCAAAAUACUCCUGCUAAGUAAUAUGUAUUUCUUCUUCUUUUUCUAUUUUUAAAUCCAAUUUUCUGAACUUAUUCCCUGGAAGCCUAAUGUCAGUUUGUCUUUACUCCCAUCUUUGAGUUUUUUCCCCUUUCAAAGCAAUGCCUGAAAUUAUUUUCCUCUAAUGGCUGCCAAAAUCUCUGACUUUCUCUCUCUCUCUCUCCUUAAAUAGUGUCUAACUAUAUUUCACUUAUUUCAGAAAAUCUUUCUGGAUUGAUCAUUAAGGAGUUAACAAUGUUGCUUAGUUUAUUAUGCGUGUGGCUAUUUCUCCCAUUUUCCCCCUUUCUUUAGAUUUACCUUCUUGAUAAAUGUUAUGCUUUAUUUUGAUAUAGUGUACUUUUAUCAUUGUCUUUCAUAUGGUGGCCACACAUUUUCACUCUCCUCCUGAUACACAUAUAUCAGUAAGAAUUCUUGGUUUUAAGCAACAGAAAACACUUCCGAAUUAAGUCCAAAGUGAAAUUUUUGAUGGAUAUGGAGUAACUCUCAGAACCAACAACAAAAUUCUGGCUGGAGAUAGUGACAGAUACCAACAGAGGUAGGACAGCAGAAGAUAUGGCCACAUUCACAGCCGAAUAAAAGUUUGGUCAGAAUAUUUGCAUAGUCAUAGAAGGAUCUAGCAACCGGACUCUCCCUGACUCCACUGUGAAUUACUUCUAAAUUUUGCCCAAAUCUUCAGCUCCCCACCAAGAUUCCUAAUGUGAACACCAAUUAUCUGAGCAUAUGUUAGGUAUAAUCAAAUAGAACUUCAAUUGCACAAGGGUAAGGAGAAGCACCAUCAGACUCCUUGGCUUUCUGUUUUGGAAUUCAGAACACUGCCUCCUACGCACAGUGAUGGAGGAUUCCUCCUAAAUUGCAAGAAUGCUCAAAUAUUGGUGGUUAAAAAUCCACUGUUAAAGGGAUAUACACAUUACAGUAGCUUUCCACCUUUUGGUCACUACUUUAGAUUAUAGCCUAGGAAAUAGGAAACAUAUCUGUAUUAUUCUUAUAUGCUAUCAUCCCAGUUUUUAGGCAUGAUUUUAUGCUUUUGGACAAUGCUAUUAACAUGAUUCUUGCUUCAGUAUGAAUGCCUUUUUUAUAAGGUAAGAGUAAAUUUUCCUCUGUGAUUUAGCAUUUAACAGUGUUAUAUGUGCUAAAAUAAUAAAAUAAUUUUGCCUUGUUUUAAGUAGCAUGUGUGUAUGCUGAAAAUAUCUUUGGCUUCAAACAUUUGUCUUACCUUUGGUGUCUGAUUGAUUAGAAGCUCAAAACAAAACUUGUAAGUUUAUGUGUCUUGUAUAUUAACUUAAUUACCUGGUUCUAAUGUGCAAUCUGCUAGAUUUUAUUGGCAAGGUUUAUCACAACUUCUAAUGAGUCACAUCUUGCACCAAGCCACACUUCAAAAAGAAAGGAACCACAUAAUUAAAUCAGGUUUACUCCACUUAAACACAUUACACUGAUUAGAUGCUUUGGUUUAAUUUGCUGCGAAAAGAUAGGAAGUUUUAAAUUGUAUUAGUUAUUUCCAUUGUGCUUUACAUCUAUUUGAAGUAUGAAUCUAUUCGGGCUACGGAAGAGGAACUUAGCAUGUCUUUUCAGCAAAAUACAUGAAAAUUUUCAUCAGAUGGAAAUUGAGUGCAUAUAUGUGUGUAUGUGCAUUCUUAAACCCUGGGAUUAUUGAACCCUCAGAUAUUUAAUUCAAAAUAUUGUAUGUAUACCUCUAUGUUCAUUAGAUUCUCAAAGAGACUGUGACCAGAAAGA
rnacentral:lncRNA from 1 species